rnacentral:rRNA from 1 species
GAUGAACGCUGGCGGCGUGCCUAAUACAUGCAAGUCGAGCGAACAGAUGAGGAGCUUGCUCCUCUGACGUUAGCGGCGGACGGGUGAGUAACACGUGGAUAACCUACCUAUAAGACUGGGAUAACUUCGGGAAACCGGAGCUAAUACCGGAUAAUAUAUUGAACCGCAUGGUUCAAUAGUGAAAGACGGUUUUGCUGUCACUUAUAGAUGGAUCCGCGCCGCAUUAGCUAGUUGGUAAGGUAACGGCUUACCAAGGCAACGAUGCGUAGCCGACCUGAGAGGGUGAUCGGCCACCCUGGAACUGAGACACGGUCCAGACUCCUACGGGAGGCAGCAGUAGGGAAUCUUCCGCAAUGGGCGAAAGCCUGACGGAGCAGCGCCGCGUGAGUGAUGAAGGUCUUCGGAUCGUAAAACUCUGUUAUUAGGGAAGAACAAAUGUGUAAGUAACUAUGCACGUCUUGACGGUACCUAAUCAGAAAGCCACGGCUAACUACGUG